rnacentral:rRNA from 1 species
GACGAACGCUGGCGGCGUGCUUAACACAUGCAAGUCGAACGGAAAGGCCCUGCUUUUGUGGGGUGCUCGAGUGGCGAACGGGUGAGUAACACGUGAGUAACCUGCCCUUGACUUUGGGAUAACUUCAGGAAACUGGGGCUAAUACCGGAUAGGAGCUCCUGCUGCAUGGUGGGGGUUGGAAAGUUUCGGCGGUUGGGGAUGGACUCGCGGCUUAUCAGCUUGUUGGUGGGGUAGUGGCUUACCAAGGCUUUGACGGGUAGCCGGCCUGAGAGGGUGACCGGCCACAUUGGGACUGAGAUACGGCCCAGACUCCUACGGGAGGCAGCAGUUGGGAAUAUUGCACAAUGGGCGGAAGCCUGAUGCAGCAACGCCGCGUGCGGGAUGACGGCCUUCGGGUUGGAAACCGCUUUCGCCUGUGACGAAGCGUGAGUGACGGUAAUGGGUAAAGAAGCACCGGCUAACUACGUG